rnacentral:rRNA from 1 species
AACGAACGCUGGCGGCAUGCCUAACACAUGCAAGUCGAACGAGACCUUCGGGUCUAGUGGCGAACGGGUGCGUAACGCGUGGGAACCUGCCCUUAGGUUCGGAAUAACUCCCCGAAAGGGGUGCUAAUACCGGAUAAUGUCUUCGGACCAAAGAUUUAUCGCCUUUGGAUGGGCCCGCGCUGGAUUAGCUAGUUGGUAGGGUAAAAGCCUACCAAGGCGACGAUCCAUAGCUGGUCUGAGAGGAUGAUCAGCCACACUGGGACUGAGACACGGCCCAGACUCCUACGGGAGGCAGCAGUGGGGAAUAUGGGACAAUGGGCGAAAGCCUGAUCCAGCAAUGCCGCGUGAGUGAUGAAGGCCUUAGGUUUGUAAAGCUCUUUUACCCGGGAUGAUAAUGACAGUACCGGGAGAAUAAGCUCCGGCUAACUCCGU